GACGAACGCUGGCGGCGUGCUUAACACAUGCAAGUCGAACGGUAAGGCCCCUUCGGGGGUACACGAGUGGCGAACGGGUGAGUAACACGUGAGCAACCUGCCCUUGACUCUGGAAUAACAGUUGGAAACAGCUGCUAAUACUGGAUAUGCACUCAUCUCCUCCUGGGGGUGAGUGGAAAGCUCCGGCGGUCAGGGAUGGGCUCGCGGCCUAUCAGCUUGUGGUGAGGAAUGGCUCACCAAGGCUUCGACGGGUAGCCGGCCUGAGAGGGGCGACCGGCCACACUGGGACUGAGAUACGGCCCAGACUCCUACGGG
rnacentral:rRNA from 1 species